rnacentral:lncRNA from 1 species
GGACGUCGUUUGACUAUCGAACGGAUAUUCGCAUAUUGCGCGUUAUCCUGGUUCGAUAGGUUGGGACCGUUGGAUGGUCCCAAAUUUAAUAUAUGUUGAUCUAGGUAUUUCUAGGAUUGUGUAGGAUUUCACGGAUUGUGAAUCGGAGCCCCGGAUGUUCCGAAUAAAUAAUUUAAAGUUUAUAAUUUAUAUUAACCGUCAGAUCGUGCGAUCGUGAGUGAUCCGACCGUCCGAUCUGAACUAAACUUGCGGGACAAGUGUCCUAUACCUUGUAGAACCCAUAGGGACUUUCGGAUCAAAAUAUGGAGGUCGCGGGCCCCACAGGUCUGUUUGACCCAUGGUUGACCGUGAGUCUCCCUGAGUAAUCUCACCUUCCUAGGGGGGAUUAUCGGGUGCUCGACCAUUGUGGCGGGUUACACAAUAUUAGAAUUAAUAUACUUUUAUAUGUUUGUACAAGGGUACGAAUGUCAGUUUGGAGUGCUAUACGCACUACCUUAGGUACCUCCCCAGAUUUUGGUUACAUUACAAGUACCACCAAGUGAAAGUUAGGUCCCACGUGGCGUAGGUUAUCCGGCAUGCGGACAGACCCCAUACGUGGCGUUGGUUGUACCGGCGUAUG